GCUGACAGGUCGAGAUUGCUCAAUCUUAUGAAAGAGGUGGUGCAGCUGUCUCAGUGUUUUGACUGACCAGAAGUAUUUCAAGGAAGGCUUUGAAAACUUGGAAGCAAUAAGAAGCGCUGGUGUUAAGAUUUGGACAUAAACCACAACUAGACAGAAAGAAUAGCUAAUGAUGUAAGUUUCUAAUUCAGCUCUUGUUUCUUAAAUGUUUUGUGAUUGUUUUUUUCUGCUAGUUUAGUUUGUUUGUCUAUUAAUGAGACUUGUUAUUUAGA